UCAGCCUCUCUCACUUACUCUUUGUAUCCCUUUCAUCAGUGCUUUGGACAGCUCAAGGACACUUCCUUGUGGAGAACUCCGAUGCUUCCACCAUCAAUAGGAACACAGGGAUGUUUUGGGCUCUUUUACAGUGCAGCAUGUUAUUUGGCAAUCUUUACAUUUAUUUUGAUUGGAAUGGAAGGAUAGAAAUAUCAGGUAUAAGCAAAGAGCCAACUCUGCAGUACAAGAUGCA